rnacentral:rRNA from 1 species
GAUGAACGCUGGCGGCGUGCCUAAUACAUGCAAGUCGAGCGAAUGGAUUGAGAGCUUGCUCUUAUGAAGUUAGCGGCGGACGGGUGAGUAACACGUGGGUAACCUGCCCAUAAGACUGGGAUAACUCCGGGAAACCGGGGCUAAUACCGGAUAACAUUUUGAACCGCAUGGUUCGAAAUUGAAAGGCGGCUUCGGCUGUCACUUAUGGAUGGAGGCGCGUCGCAUUAGCUAGUUGGUGAGGUAACGGCUCACCAAGGCAAAGAUGCGUAGCCGACCUGAGAGGGUGAUCGGCCACACUGGGAAUGAGACACGGCCCAGACUCCUACGGGAGGCAGCAGUAGGGAAUCUUCCGCAAUGGACGAAAGUCUGACGGAGCAACGCCGCGUGAGUGAUGAAGGCUUUCGGGUCGUAAAACUCUGUUGUUAGGGAAGAACAAGUGCUAGUUGAAUAAGCUGGCACCUUGACGGUACCUAACCAGAAAGCCACGGCUAACUACGUGCCAGCAGCCGCGGUAA